GACGAACGCUGGCGGCACGCUUAACACAUGCAAGUCGAACGAAAAUGUUUCACCGUAGCUUGCUACACCGAGACAUUUUAGUGGCGGACGGGUGAGUAACACGUGAGGAACCUGCCUAUCAGAGAGGGAUACCGUUUGGAAACGAACGUUAAUACCCUCAUAACGUAACGAGAUCGCAUGAUAAUGUUACCAAAGAUUUAUCGCUGAUAGAUGGCCUGCGUCUGAUUAGAUAGUUGGUGAGGUAACGGCUCACCAAGUCGACGAUCAGUAGCCGGACUGAGAGGUUGAACGGCCACAUUGGGACUGAGACACGGCCCAGACUCCUACGGGAGGCAGCAGUGGGGAAUAUUGCACAAUGGAGGAAACUCUGAUGCAGCGAUG
rnacentral:rRNA from 1 species